rnacentral:misc_RNA from 1 species
UCCGAGUUGUCCCCGGCAGUCUCCCAUGAGUCCCCGCCAUUACGCGCUGGCAACAUGGGACAGGGGUUGCGCUCGUUGCGGGACUUAACCCAACAUUUCACAACACGAGCUGACGACAGCCAUGCAGCACCUGUCUUACGGUUCCCGAAGGCACCAAUCCAUUUCUGGAAAGUUCCGUAGAUGUCAAGACCAGGUAAGGUUCUUCGCGUUGCAUCGAAUUAAACCACAUGCUCCACCGCUUGUGCGGGCCCCCGUCAAUUCCUUUGAGUUUCAGCCUUGCGGCCGUACUCCCCAGGCGUGGUACUUAAUGCGUUAGCGACGGCACUCAGAGGGUCGCUCCCCCAAGCACCUAGUACCCAUCGUUUACGGCGUGGACUAC